rnacentral:misc_RNA from 1 species
GAUGGCGUUUAAAUUUGUGGGAUUUGAGUAGUAUAUCUUCCAUAAUGUUGAGAGGAUUCCACCUUUAGCCUUGAAAUUGGAGUUUCUGAAUGCAUAUUCCAUAUGAUCAUUUUAGAAUGGUGUUGUUGCUUGCGUUUAGAUUUUGGAGAAAUUUCAUUACUGGGGUUGCAUGGAAUAUUGGAAUUGUUAAAUUUUGGUUGCUAUAAGAAGAAGAAAAAGAAGCAGCAAAACUCAUAGAAAUUCAUGUUGGUGCCUUUUUUUUGCAGCCCUUAGGAGGUAUGAAGCAGCUG